rnacentral:rRNA from 1 species
AGUGAACGCUGGCGGUAGGCCUAACAUAUGCAAGUCGAACGGCAGCACAGUAAGAGCUUGCUCUUACGGGUGGCGAGUGGCGGACGGGUGAGGAAUACAUCGGAAUCUACUUUUUCGUGGGGGAUAACGUAGGGAAACUUACGCUAAUACCGCAUACGACCUACGGGUGAAAGCAGGGGAUCUUCGGACCUUGCGCGAUUGAAUGAGCCGAUGUCGGAUUAGCUAGUUGGCGGGGUAAAGGCCCACCAAGGCGACGAUCCGUAGCUGGUCUGAGAGGAUGAUCAGCCACACUGGAACUGAGACACGGUCCAGACUCCUACGGGAGGCAGCAGUGGGGAAUAUUGGACAAUAGGCGCAAGCCUGAUCCAGCCAUACCGCGUGGGUGAAAAAGGCCUUCGGGUUGUAAAGCCCUUUUGUUGGGAAAGAAAAGCAGCAGGUUAAUACCCCGAUGUUCUGACGGUACCCAAAGAAUAAGCACCGGCUAACUUCGUG